GUGAGGGGCGAGGGGCCGCCGCCAUCUUGGGGAGGGCGUGAGGGGCGAGGGGCCGCCGCCAUCCUGGGGAGGGCGGGCGAGCGAGGUGUCCCCUCAGAGCUUCGCUUGAGGAGGAAAAACUCCCCAGAAAAUGGGAAUUAAUGAGGAGAAAGACGUGAGGUGAGUCCAGAGGAGGGCAGGGAGUGGCUCUGAGGGCUGGAGCCCCUCUGCUCUGGAGCCAGGCUGGGAGAGCUGGGAAUGUUCCCCUGGAGAAGAGAAGGCUCCAGGGAGAGCUGAGAGCCCCUGGCAGGGCCUAAAGGGGCUCCAGGAGAGCUGGAGAGGGACUGGGGACAAGGCAGGGAGGGACAGGACACAGGGAAUGGCUUCCCAGUGCCAGAGGGCAGGGUCAGAUGGGAUAUUGGGAAGGAAUUGCUGGCUGGGAGGGUGGGAAGACCCUGGCCCAGGUUGCCCAGAGAAGCUGUGGCUGCCCCUGGAUCCCUGGGAGUGUCCAAGGAGCAGGGUCAGAAUCAGGGUUACAGCAGAAGGGGGAACUGUGCUACAGCUCUGGAGAUCUCAGUUCUCAUCAUUGGGGGGAAGUUUGUAUGGUGUGGGGGUCUGGAAGAUUCCCAGGACAGGGGCCAAGCCCCUUGUUUUGGGGUGUGAUUAUCCAACAAAAUGGGGUGGGAAUGUGCAGCAACACAAGCCGUGGGUGACGUAUCUUGGGAACACUUUAACUGGGCACAACAGCUUUCCCUGUGGGUCCUUCUGCAGCCACCAAUCCAGCCUGGAUUUUGGGCUCACCCUGGUUCUUCCCUGCCUCCCAUAACCAUGGAUUGUUUCUGUUCUGCCAGUUCCCCGAGUAUUUGGGAAUAAAAGAGGGCAGUGCUGGAUCAGGGCCAUUCCCUCAUCUCCAACAGCAGUGGCAGUUACAGCUCUUGAGAGACAAAGAGCCCACUUAGGCUGUGCUGGAUGGCUUUUCCAACAUUCCCUGCAGUGGAUUUUAUGGCAACAACAACUACUGGGGAGACAAGGCUGAGGCUGUGAAGAGGGAGGAGUGGGGUGGGAGCCAGGCUGAGCUCACCGCUGUGCAGGACUGAUAAGCCAGAGCCGACCACGGAACUCCAGCUCAGCUCCACUCCCCCAUGUCAGAGACACCCCCAUGGUGAAGUCACGAGGUAUUUUUGUCCCCUGAGGUGCCCCAAGCCCAGCCUGGGUGUUUUCCAUUCAGACAGAUGAAUAUCCCCCGCAGUUUUACCCUCGUCAUCCAAGACACUGGAGGCACGGAGCUCUUCCAGUUUUCUCCCCCCCCCUUUUGCAUGGCCUUCAGCCCAAAUUCCUUAGGACUAAGCCAUGGCCAUGCUGGUUUCCCAUGUGAAGGACUUACGUUUCUGUAGCCACACCACAUUUUAAUUUGCUUUCUCAGCAAAAUCUUAAUCACAGGAAGUGGGGUUGGGCUCACCGGGUGUCCCUGCACCUAAACAGGACACCCAGGGCUGCUUUAAGCCCCUGCCUACAUUUAAUCAGAGGGAUCCCAUCCUGGGCUGCUCCUGCUGUAGAUCCAGACAACUAGUCCAGGCAUUGGUGCAGAUGGUUGGAUUUAGGAAAGACCAAUCCCCUGAGUCUCAGUUUUAUGACUCUCACAUGGAGAAGGAAAACUGCAGGUCAGAGGUGUUAAUUGUCACCUUGUGCUGAUGAAAUGGGGGCAGGGAGGGAAGCAACAGGAAUAACAGGUUUAAAAUAUGUAAGGUGGGAAUUAAAGGGCGAAAGGAGUGGGAUUUGUUACCCUAAAGAGCUGAAAGGAGGGAAUUUGAAGGGACAGGACAUAACAAUCCUCACUUCAUGGAAGAUCAGGGUAAAGACAGCGACGAGCUGUGGAUUUGGGUGAGCUCAGGACUAGCAGAGCUCUGCCAUGUGCAGGCAUGGGAAUAGUCCUGGAGCUCCCUGGGAAUGCCAGGGGACACUGGGAGGUCACCACUCUGAAAUCCCACAGACCAUUAAAUCCUCUUUGAUCUCUCCUGAGGAAGUUCUGCAGCGCCAGGUUGGGCAGAACUUUUAAGACCUGCCAAAACAUUCCAAGAGCCCCCAGAUGUGGUUCUAGGUGAGAAAAGCAAGGUACGUAAGAACUUGGAGUGUUUCCUACUCUGCUUCCUGGUGAUGGCAGCAGGAAUUGUGCAAACCCCGUGUGUAAGACGACGGGAAAGGAGGAGGAAUCCAUAAAAGUGUGCAGAUCUGUAAGAAAACAGAGCCCCUCCUUGGCCAGUUCCCAAAGGACAAGCUAUAAUUAUCAGGUACUCCCUCAAACACUGCAUCUAUUUUCAGGAAGGGCUUCCUGGAUAAAGUGUCUCAGGAGCCAAAACAACAGGUGACAGAAGGAGGUCCCUCGGCUCUCAAGGGCACCAGCUCAGGCCGUGUCAUCUGAGAGGAGCUGAAAAGCUCAGGGGUUACUCCUGGGAUAAGACAAAGCCUCGUGCUUAGGGAGCUCCAGGAUAUCAGCCUGUUCCCCUGGGCCCUCACUGUCCCAGGGGCUUGACAAAACCUGCUGACAACCCCCCCAAACUCCAGGAAAAAAAAAAGAGUAAACCUAAUUAUUGUAGCUAAUUGUUCAUCCAGUACAACUUGAGUUCAGACAUCGGGGUUGCAACUCCUGGUUUAACAUCUCAGGAUGCUCAGAGAACUCUCCUCCCGGGCUGGUGGUUCCCAUACUUCACACAACAGGCCAUUCCUAUAAAAUGAGGGGGGAAAAGCACCCCCAGGAGUUGUGUGACCUGCUGGAAUCACCCUGAGGGAGAUUUUCUGAAGUUAAAUGUAAUUUUUAGCCUCUACUAAGCAGUUAUUAAUAAUACUAAAUAAUACUAAAUAUUUAUAAUACUAAAUAGUAUUAAAUAUAAUACUACUAAAUAUAAUACUAAAUAAUACUAAAUAUUUAUAAUACUAAAUACAAUACUAAACAAUGCUAAAUAUAAUACUACUAAAUAUAAUACUAAAUAAUACUAAAUAUUUAUAAUACUAAAUAUAAUACUAAACAAUACUAAAUAUAAUAAUAAUACUAAAUAAAAUACUAAAUAUUUAUAAUACUAAAUAUAAUACUAAAUAAUACUAAAUAAUACUAAAUAUUUAUAAUACUAAAUAUAAUACUAAAUAUAAUACUAAAUAAUACUAAAUAUUUAUAAUACUAAAUAUAAUACUAAAUAAUACUAAAUAUUUAUAAUACUAUGUAUAAAAUACUAAAACUAAACUAAACUAGCUAACCACCCAAACUAACUAAAACUAACUAAAACACUAACCAGUAUUUCUGUUUCCUUCAAUGAUUCCUGUGCUCUGGUCUCCCUGGCAAUGUUUCCUUUUAGAUUGUAGGAGCACUUGGCCAAUCCUUGCAAUUCCAGCUAUGAAAAAUAUUCCAACAUCCAGCAGUAAAUGCAGGUGAACUUUUAAACAUUUAGGUCAAGAAUUUCCCCCAAAGAGCAAAGUGGUCCCUUCCUGGCACGUGAUCGUGGCCAUCCCAAGGAAUCUGCUGUCACCAUGUGUUGCAUUAAAGAUUUUCCUCAUUUUUUUCCUUAAACAUUUCUCUCUUUUAGUGCCAAUUUCAGCCAGAAGUGCUGACACUGAGCCAGGCUUUUGCACAAAGAGGAUUUCACACUUAGUUUGCUUCAGCUGAGUCGUGAAUGUAUCAGCCCUUAACAGUGAAUUAAAAAAAAUUCCCUUUGAUUGUUUCUCCUCAAGUCAAUAACCUAUAUGGAACACUGCAGACUUCAAGGCUUUUAUUUUAAAAUAAUUAAAUAUUUUUUUAAACAAAAUUUUGUGGAGCCUAAAGCAAACAAACAAAAAAAAAUCCAGGGAAAAAGGAAUUUUCUUCCCAGGAUUCUCUUGUGAUCUGAGGCUGUCGGGGUGGGAAGGCCCUGUAAGAUUCCUCCAAGGAGACUUUCUGAAUAUCUCCAGAAAAUUACUGGAUAAUUAUAUAGUAAAUGUCAUAUUUACAAGUAUAUAGUAAUGUAAUAUGUAUAUUAAAUAUACAGUGGAGAACACACAAGGAUGUAACAAAACCAUCCCAGAGUCUGGAAUGGAAAACAUUGAUACUCUCAGCAACUGUUCUGAUAUUUCACUCCUUUUGGUCCUUUGUGUGACAAUUACAAGAGCAAAACACAGAAAAAAGCCCCCAGCUUGUGCCUUUUUAAAAAAUAUACAGAAAUCCUGGAAGAGAGAGGUUUAUAAAACACAGUAAAAUUGUUUUGUUUUUGUUUUUGUUCCUGGAGGACACCUGAGGUGGCAGCAGGGAACCAGGACGGUGAAAAAAGCAAAUGAGAAAGGAGUUAACCCACUGAAAACUUCAUUUUAUUAACUUUGCUGACAAUUCAGUGCCAACAUUUAAUAUCCCUUUUGGAGAGAAGCUUUUCCUUAAAAAUUCUCUUUGUUAUGGAGAUACCUUUUCUGAGGAGAAGAGUCCCUGGAGUUGGGAAGGAGCAGCCAGGGCAGCUCCUCAAAUGAGAGCUGGGACAAAAGGAUCCCUGUCCCUUCCCAAGCCUUUCUUCUGUGUCAUAAAGAUCCACUGUGCUUUUUUUUUUUAAUAGGUGAAAAUAAUAAUAGGCAAAAAUAACAAUAAUAGGUGAAAAUAACAAUAAUAGGUGAAAAUAAUAAUGGGGAGAUACCAGGCAAUGGAGAAACACUGGCUGGAGGAAAGGGGGAAGAUGGGAAGCUGCUCACAUCCAGCUUGAUUCCUAACACGGUGAAUAUUAUCCUUUAUUAAACCUUAAAUAUGCAGAUAGUUCUCUCCAGCACCCACAUCCCAUAAUAGUUCUGUGGCUCUCCCCACCCACAAACAUGCAGAGCAACAUCCCCUGUGUUUUACCAGCGGGGUUUGGGUGCAACUUCCUGCAGGAAACGUGGGCCAACAGCACAGCACAGGGAGCCCCAAAACUGCCGAGCUGUGCCUCCCUGCUGGGCUGACAGCAGGAAUUCCCAUGGAACCUCUCCAGCCUGCAGGGCCCCCUCACCAAAUCCUUGGGGGAUUUGAGCAGAGAAUCAGAGAAUCCCAGAAUCCCAGAAUCAGCUGGGUUGGAAGGGACCUCUGAGAUCAUCCAGCCCAACCCUUGAUCCAACCCCGCCGUGGUUCCCAGCCCAUGGCACUGAUGCCACAUCCAGUCUGUCCUUAAACACCUCCAGGGAUGGAGAAUCCCCCCCUUCCCUGGGCAGCCCAUUCCAAUGGCUGAGCACCCUCUGCAAAGAAAUUCUUCCUGAUGUCCAACCUAAACCUCCCCUGGCACAACUGAAGCCCGAGCCCUCUUGUCUUGCUGAUGGUUGCCUGGGAAAAGAGCCCAACCCCCCCGGCUCCCCCCUCCUGGCAGGGAGUUGCAGAGAGUGAGGAGGUCUCCCCUGAGCCUCCUCCUCUCCAGGCUGAGCCCCCCCAGCUCCCUCAGCCUCUCCUCCCAGCACUUGGGCUCCAGUCCCUUCCCCAGCCUCGCUGCUCUUCUCUGCCCCUGCUCCAGCCCCUCCAGGGCCUUCCUGAGCUCAGGGCCCAGAGCUGGACACAGCACUCCAGGGGUGGCCUCCCCAGCGCCCAGCCCAGGGGCACAAUCACUUCCCUGCUCCUGUUGGCCACCCUGUUCCUGAGCCAGGCCAGGAUCCAUUGGCCUUCUUGUCCCCCUGGGCACACUCUGGCUCAUGUUCAGCUCCCUGUCAAUCCAAACUCCCAGCUCCCUCUGCCUGGCAGAGCAGCCUUUAUUCAUCAUAAGCUCAGCUUGAGUCCUGCACCCCAGCAGGGGGAAAAGCCCGACACAGAAUCAAACUUCCAGGUUGGGAGAAACCAGAAAUGGCUGGAAGGGUCAUCCCACGGUGGAGACUCCCUGGAAAGGCACAUCCACGGGAGCCAAAGGCUCUCCCUCAGAAGCCACAGCAAAACCUGUGGCACUUUUAAGCAAAUCCAGCCAUUGCAAGUCCAGACUUUUCUUUAGAGGCACCUCUUGGUUUUUAUUAACCCCCAGGGAGCUGGAAUUACACGCAAAAUUCAGCUGGAUUGAGGAGAGAAGAGGAAAAAGGAGGGAAAAAGGAGGUGUUUCGUUUUCCAGCUUGGGAUGGUUGGGAGGGUUUUCUCAUCUGCUGUCAAAGAAAUGAGUGGUGACUUUUCAGAUCCACCAGAGAGCAUUUCAGUGCUCACCAGCUGGUGUCCUCAAUUCCAUCCUGCUGGAAUCAUGGCAUGUAGAAUAAUAUAAUAAUAAUAAUAAUAAUAAUAUAAUAAUUAUUAUUAUUAUUCACUCUUUAUUUCAGUACUUUUGGGACACUAAAACUUUGGAGUCUGGAAAUCAUUGUAGCUCCAGUUCCCCAUGGAUGUAAAAACAGCCUUGCUCACUUGUAACCAUCACUAACCAAAGUCGAGCAGUUCCUACUUCACUGCUUGGAACCUCUUGUGAAAACACAGAGACCCUCUCUCUGGAGGAGAAAGAGAGGAAGCAGAGUGUAGGAAGCAGCUGAUGGCAGAUUGUUCCCUGAACCUUCAGGGAUGCAAACUGAAGCCACCUGAACUCAGACUCAGGUUUGAGAAGCCUCUUUCACGGGCCUUCAUUGGAUGGAAUUUGUGGAAUACUUCCCAUGCUGGAACGUGCCCACUUCCCAGGGAGGUGCUUUGGGCAGGUUUUGCAGCCAGCCCCACUCCCCGCUUGUGCACUCCCAGCAGGGUCUCUGCUGGAUUUUGUGAGCACUUGUAGGUUCCUGGCUGGAAUUUGGCCUGUAGCUGAUCUCUCAAAAUAAAAAAGGCUUUAUACAA